GGCUUAUUGUUUUAUUUUAUAUUAAGUCUUACCUGCUCAAUGAUAUUAGUAAUAUUAAAUAGCCGCAGUAUAUUGACUGUGCAAAGGUAGCAUAAUCAUUUGUCUUUUAAUUGAGGACUUGUAUGAAUGGUUUAAUGAAAUAUUAACUUUCUUUAUAUAAAAUUUAUAAAAUUAAUUUUUUAGUUAAAAAGCUAAAAUGAUUUUAAGGGACGAGAAGACCCUAUAGAAUUUUAUACUUUAUAUUAUAUAAUGUGUUUGGUUAUUUUUUGGUUAUAUUUUUUAAAGUAUUUUGUUGGGGUGACAGGGAAAUUUAUUUAACUUUCUUUAUUUAUAUUUUAUUGAAUAGUAUAUUUAUGAUCCUAUUUUAUGGAUUUAAAAGAUUAAAUUACCUUAGGGAUAACAGCGUAAUUUCCUUGGAGAGUUCUUAUCGAUAAGGGAGUUUGCGACCUCGAUGUUGGAUUAAAAUAAGUAUUAGGUGUAGAAGCUUAUUUACUAGGUCUGUUCGACCUUUAAUAUUUUACA
rnacentral:rRNA from 1 species